CGCGGGGUGGAGCAGCCUGGUAGCUCAUUAGGCUCAUAACCUAAAGGUCGAGAGUUCAAAUCUCUCCCCCGCAACCA
rnacentral:tRNA from 1 species